rnacentral:rRNA from 1 species
UACGGAGGGGGCGAGCGUUAUUCGGAAUUAUUGGGCGUAAAGGGCGCGUAGGCGGCUGUACAAGUCAAAGGUGAAAUCCCUCGGCUCAACUGAGGAACUGCCUUUGAAACUGUACGGCUUGAGGCCGGGAGGGGGUAGCGGAAUUCCCAGUGUAGAGGUGAAAUUCGUAGAUAUUGGGAAGAACACCGGUGGCGAAGGCGGCGACCUGGUCCAUUACUGACGCUGAGGCGCGACAGCGUGGGGAGCAAACAGG